rnacentral:rRNA from 1 species
AACGUAGGAAGCGAGCGUUAUCCGGAUUUACUGGGCGUAAAGCGCGUGUAGGCGGUUUCGUAAGUUGGAUGUGAAAGCUCCUGGCUUAACUGGGAGAGGUCGUUCAAUACUGCGAGACUAGAGGAUGGGAGAGGGAAGUGGAAUUCCGGGUGUAGUGGUGAAAUGCGUAGAUAUCCGGAGGAACACCAGUGGCGAAAGCGGCUUCCUGGCCCAUAACUGACGCUCAGACGCGAAAGCUAGGGGAGCGAACGGG